rnacentral:lncRNA from 1 species
UGUAUCUGGAGGUCAAUGACCAUGUAUUCUGGUGCCACAAAAAGCUCCAAGUGAAGGCCUAUGGAUGAGACUGCACAAUGUAAGUGUCCUUCAUGACAAUUGCUACACUAGCUACAUAUGUCUGCUGUUGUGACAUCUGAAGAAACAACACCUCCAUUAUCCUGACACUAGGGUGAAAAGAACUGUUGGAAAAACCCACACGAAAAAGGAACCGAAAAAGAAGAAGAAGAAGAAGAAGAAGAAGAAGAAGAAGAAGAAGAAGAAGAAGAAGAAGGAACCAAGAAGUAAAUGAUAAAUCUAUCUACAGAUCGAAGACCACACAUUAGCAACUGCCACUGUGAAGCCUGAAAGUCCACCUUUUUUUAACUUAAAAUUCUAUGAACACGAUU